rnacentral:tRNA from 1 species
AUAUGUGUGGUGUAGUGGUUUCAGUGUUGGACUAUAACUCUGGAGACCAGGGUUCAAAUUCCUGCUCAGCCA